AUGAGCAGCAAUUGCUUCCAAGGGAGAUGUGUCAAAGGAACUCUGCUGAACAACUACAAGAAUUACAGCUGGAGAUGUUCACAAUUAAUCUCAAAGACAAUACAGCUGAAAGAGACCUCAGCUAUGUAGCUGUUUGAAGCUGACAAACAUGACAAAAGGACACGUAGCAGGACAGUAGCAGUGGUUUAGCAAGAAGUACAACAAAAGAUUUGACAUUCUGCAGACAUGAGGGUUUCUGCUGGGCCAGUUCUCACACAGCCAGAUCCUUAGAGGGGAGCAGGGUUCCCUGAAGACAAACUGGUGAUGCUACAACUUCCUUUGCAAAGUACAGUCCCUGCUGAUUGGAGUUAAGACUCUGAACAGCAGAAACCAGUGGCUAAAGCCACGUAAAAAUACAAGAAAAUGGUUCCAAGC